GAUCCUGGCUCAGGACGAACGCUGGCGGCGCGCCUAACACAUGCAAGUCGAACGAGCGAGAGAGAGCUUGCUUUCUCGAGCGAGUGGCGAACGGGUGAGUAACGCGUGAGGAACCUGCCGUCAAAGAGGGGGGACAACAGUUGGGAAACGACUGCUAAUACCGCAUAAGCCCACGGUGCCGCAUGGCACAGGAGGGAAAAGGAGCAAUCCGCUUUGAGAUGGCCUCGCGUCCGAUUAG
rnacentral:rRNA from 1 species